rnacentral:rRNA from 1 species
GACGAACGCUGGCGGCGUGCUUAACACAUGCAAGUCGUACGGUAAGGCCCUUUCGGGGGUACACGAGUGGCGAACGGGUGAGUAACACGUGAGUAACCUGCUCACAACUUUGGGAUAACGCUAGGAAACUGGUGCUAAUACUGGAUAUGUGCUCCUGCCGCAUGGUGGGGGUUGGAAAGCUCCGGCGGUUGUGGAUGGACUCGCGGCCUAUCAGCUUGUUGGUGGGGUAGUGGCCUACCAAGGCGGCGACGGGUAGCCGGCCUGAGAGGGUGACCGGCCACAUUGGGACUGAGAUACGGCCCAGACUCCUACGGGAGGCAGCAGGGGGGAAUAUUGCACAAUGGGCGCAAGCCUGAUGCAGCAGCGCCGCGUGCGGGAUGACGGCCUUCGGGUUGUAAACCGCUUUCAGCAGGGACGAAGCUUUUUGUGACGGUACCUGCAGAAGAAGCACCGGCUAACUACGUG